GGGAGCCCAGGCAGGGGAGGCGCCGAGAGCCAGUGAGGACUGCCAGCACCGCUGUCACCUCUCAGAAAUGCUGGGAAGAAUAUGAGAGAUCCGGAAGGGAACAGAAGACAAGGAAUGUGGGCACCCUCUAGAAGUUGCAGAAGCCAGAGAAACAGACUCUCCCCUGGAAUGUUCAGAAAGUGUACAAUCCUGCCAAGACCUCGGUCAUAGCUCAGUGAAACCCAUUUUGAAAUUCGGACCACCAGAACUUUUUGCCUUGUGCUUGAGACACACCCAGACCUUUAGCCUCCAGCCUGCAGAAAUUGGUAGAUUUCUUCUGUGAAAAGCCAGGAGCAAAUUUUCAGCUCAAUUCUGCAAGUUUCAAUCUGCACUGGAAUUUUAAUCCAUCAUCUUCUAUUUUUAUAUAACUUUCUUAUGUCUUC
rnacentral:lncRNA from 1 species